CCUACGGGUGGCUGCAGUGGGGAAUUUUGGACAAUGGGGGCAACCCUGAUCCAGCCAUGCCGCGUGCGGGAAGAAGGCCUUCGGGUUGUAAACCGCUUUUGUCAGGAGAGAAAUCUCUUGGGCUAAUACCCUGAGAGGAUGACGGUACCUGAAGAAUAAGCACCGGCUAACUACGUGCCGGCAGCCGCGGUAAUACGUAGGGUGCAUGCUUUGAGCGGAGUGACUGGGGGCGAAGCGGCAAGAGGGGGUUGAAAUCCCCGGGCUUAACCUGGGAACUGCACUUGUGACUGCACGGCUAGAGUACGGCAGAGGGGGAUGGAAUACCGCGUGUAGCAGUGAAAUGCGUAGAUAUGCGGAGGAACACCGAUGGCGAAGGCAGUCCCCUGGGCCUGUACUGACGCUCAUGCACGAAAGCGUGGGGAGCAAACAGGAUUAGAUACCCUAGUAGUC
rnacentral:rRNA from 1 species